GGAUAUGAGGGUGAUCGGACUGACUUCUGCUGUCAUUGGUCACCAGGGUGACUCAUCUGAUCUGGGUGACGAGGCUUUGCCCCCUUCUCAUCAUGGCCCCAUUUGCAGCCCCCUGGGAGCUGCACACUGCAUCAGAAACCUUCCCCCAUAGAGAAAGAAGGGUCAUCUGUCAAGGACAAGUGGCUAGCUGAGCUCCCCUGCUAGAACCUGCACACAAGCUCUCAAGACAGGUGGAGAGUGAGGAAGGCAGACUCUUGGUGUCAACCUGAGGCCUGGGCACACACACAGGUGUGCAUUCGAACACAC
rnacentral:snRNA from 1 species